CAGCAGCCGCGGUAAUACGUAGGUGGCAAGCGUUGUCCGGAAUUAUUGGGCGUAAAGGGCUCGCAGGCGGUUUAAUAAGUCUGAUGUGAAAGCCCACGGCUCAACCGUGGAGGGUCAUUGGAAACUGUUAAACUUGAGUGCAGGAGAGAAAAGUGGAAUUCCUAGUGUAGCGGUGAAAUGCGUAGAGAUUAGGAGGAACACCUGUGGCGAAGGCGGCUUUUUGGCCUGUAACUGACACUGAGGCGCGAAAGCGUGGGGAGCAGACAGGAUUAGAGACCCCCGUAGUCCCUGUCUCUUAUAC
rnacentral:rRNA from 1 species